AGCCGAUGCUUAUUCUUCAGGUACACGUCAUUUUGUUCCUCCCUGAAAAAAGAGGUUUACAACCCAUAGGCCGUCAUCCCUCACGCGGUAUUGCUCCGUCAGGCUUUCGCCCAUUGCGGAAAAUUCCCCA
rnacentral:rRNA from 1 species